rnacentral:lncRNA from 10 species
CUGCCUCCCGCGGCGGGCCGGGUCUCCAGGGAGGACCUGAGUUUUCUUCACCCAUUGUCAGGGAGGCGCCAUCGCCCUGGCUUUGGGGCUGGGGCCUCCGGGGAGGUUCCGGUAGGGGCGUUGGAGAGGCCGCUCUUUUUGCAAGGCCCGAGACGGCGGGCCCUGCGCAGGCCGCCCUAUUCCGCGCCCUCAGGGCGUCAGUAUCAGCCUGAGGCUGGAUACCCCCGCUGGGCCCGGAUGCCCCCGCUGGGCCCGGAGCAUCCUCCGGCGCUGCCCUCCCAGAGCCCCGCAGAGGCUGAGGUGGCGCGGGGGCGGCCCCGGCUCCGCGAGAAGCGGCGGCAGCGAGGGCUGGAGGACCCGGGCUGCGGGGCUCCGGGGCGUCUGGCCUGGGCGGGACUGAGCCCAUCCAGGGACUGGGACUCUGGGAUUCUGGUGUAGGUGGAUCCGGGGCAGGCUCAGGACCAAGUCCCUCUCCUUCCACCAAGGAGCGCCCAGAGGCCGGCGGGAGCUCCAGGUUCACCUCCUCCUCCUCCAGGAAAUCCCACUUCCAGCUAGAUGUCUGCAUGAACUACUGAAAGCUGCUGAGUGUCUUGCAGCAGGCCAUUUCCAAUCCAGCGGAAGACCUUCUAGAAGAGGUGAUGGGUGGGAGAGUGCUGGCAUACUAUGUGAAGCUACUAUUUGGAGUUGGACACGAGUGCAUGUGACCUUGUGCCACAGCGGGAAUGUGAGCUGGAUGACAAAUGGAGAUUUGGACUUGUGAUAAUUGGCCUCUGUGUCAUUGUGUGGAAGACUGACUGGUCCCUUUAUUUCCUGUAGCUUGACUACCACACAAAUGAAUCCACUCAAAUGUUGGCAAGUGGAGCAGAGUCCCAGGACAGGUACAGAAACACCCCCAGUUCAAGGAUCUUCACACCUGGAUUUAGGCCUACUCCUGCAACUACCCCAGAACCUGGAAUUUAUAUGUUCAACAUGGAGCCAUCCCAGCCAUGACAACAGAGAAUGUACCACUCUCACGCCUCAGUGUCAUCAAGGAGACUCUCCUUGACAUG